rnacentral:lncRNA from 1 species
UUGUUCUAUUCAUCAUGACCUCAUAGAGCCUUUUCUUUUUCUCAGGUCUCAUUUACUUCCUCUUUUUUUUUUCCUUUUCCUUUUCCUAUACCUUCCUUUGGUCCUUAUAAGUAUCCAAAUUGCCCUAAAAUAACUUCUGCACAUGCAGCAUUAGGAAGCAGUGUUUCCCAACCACUACAUUUGAAUGAUUCAUUCCUCUGAGGACCCUCAAGUACUUCAGAAGAACUAAAAAAUGAAUAUCACGUUACACCAAAGAAGAAAUGAAAGCUGCCAGUGUCUUCUGAAGUUAAACAGGCUCCUGUUCUUUGACCCAGCAAUCCAAUCCUAGGUAUUUAAUUGUUCCCUGAGGUUUAAGGCAGUGGACUGAGGAUAAUACAGGCUCCAGCUUUCAUUAGUUCAAUGGAUGAUGCUGUUCAAUCCAUACUGUUUGGGGCAUUUGUUGAAAAUGUCAUUCAGAAGAUAUCAACACUUUCUGAGUCAUGGUUUGAUUGAAUUUAUAGAAUUAUGUGAUAGAAACCACAUUCUUCACAAAAGUCACAAGGCAAUAAUGACGACAAGGGUUGAAGAUGAAAGAUGCCAAAUAUUCUGAUCAAUUCAAUAAGGCAAAAAGACAAGUUAAUUCACUCAGUGCUCCAGGCAUCAACUUCAUAGAAGGAAUGGAAAUUCUACCUGUUUCCUAAAGAACUACAGAGGACUCCAACUAAGCCACUAUGCUGGGAGCAGAGAUGGGGAAGAAUUGCUGAGUCAUGAUAAGAGAAGGCACUAUAGGAAGAAACAGUGAACUCUUAACAGCUGGGCAAGCAAUGAGUCAGCCUGGGUGGUCACUCCAGAUGCUCCCGGACACAUCCCAAUUUCUAGGAUGCCUUGCUAAUCUGGGAGGGCUUUCCACACGCCCACCUGAAGACCAUGUGUGACCACGCCCCCAGAGGAGCAUGCCUUCUCCCACUCCCCAAUCCCAUUGCUUAUGACUUCAUUCACAUUUAGAGCGUGGACAGUGAAUCCCCAAUGUCAUUUACACAGUGUUGUUCUUGUCAUGGUCUAAACCAGCUUACCCCACUGCCACAUUUAUCCAUCAGCCUAUGGGAAAAGGGAAAAAGGAUGUGGAAGUCUUUUCCAGAUACGGCCUGGGAUUUACAUCUGGGGAGCAAGGAUAUAGCAGCCCAAGAAUAAUUAGAUGGGGCAAAAUAUUUACCCUGAUGAAUAAGGCACUGACAUGGCAAGCAAACCAAAAUAUCCCCAGUCACAGAUACAAUGACAAACUCUCUCUCCAAGUCCUCCUGUCCUACUGUUGUUUGAGUGAUUAUACCUAAUUCCAUCUCAAUUCCUCUCAAUGUUCCUCACAAAUUGAUGACCUAAUACUUCAUGCCAGGAUAUUCUUGGUUAUACUGGAUUUCUAAGGCAUUUUAAUUAUCAUUAUGCGUUCAGGGAUACUGAUUUCUACAAUACAGAAAAUGUUGAAACUUACAAGUCUGUGAAACCAGAACUUACAAAACCUAUCUUGUUCUGAGUAGCAUUGAAACUGUCAAGGGAUAAAUUGGUAUU